UACAGAGGUCUCAAGCGUUGUUCGGAUUCAUUGGGCGUAAAGGGUGCGUAGGCGGGUUUUUAAGUCAGGGGUGAAAUCCUGGAGCUCAACUCCAGAACUGCCUUUGAUACUGAGAAGCUUGAGUCCGGGAGAGGUGAGUGGAACUGCGAGUGUAGAGGUGAAAUUCGUAGAUAUUCGCAAGAACACCAGUGGCGAAGGCGGCUCGCUGGCCCGGUACUGACGCUGAGGUGCGAAAGCGUGGGGAGCAAACAGG
rnacentral:rRNA from 1 species